AUAGUUCUUCAGGGAGAGGUGAAAUUCCUUACCGGCGGUAAAGCCCGCGAACCUUAAUUGGUAGAUCCGGUUAGUUUCCGGAGCCGACAGUAUAGUCUGGAUGGGAGAAGAACAUG
rnacentral:ncRNA from 2 species